rfam:Stomoxys calcitrans breed 8C7A2A5H3J4 unplaced genomic scaffold Scaffold201, whole genome shotgun sequence.
UGGCUAUAGUUAGCGUUUGUUUUAUUUGGUAGUGUUCUGUUAAAGGCUAUCAUAAGACACACGCGGCUAUGGCCG